CCAAUAGCGUAUAUUAAAGUUGUUGCCGUUAAAAAGCUCGUAGUUGAAUUUCGGGGUCAGUAGGUUGGUCAUGCCACUGGUAUGUACUGGCUUCACUGAUUCCUCCUUCCUGAUGAGCCGUAAUGCCAUUAAUUUGGUGUUGCGAGGAAUCUGGACUGUUACUUUGAAAAAAUUAGAGUGUUUAAAGCAGGCUAACGCUUGAAUACAUUAGCAUGGAAUAAUGAAAUAGGACGUUCGAUCUUAUUUUGUUGGUUUCUAAGAUUGACGUAAUGAUUAAUAGGGAUAGUUGGGGGCAUUAGUAUUCAAUUGUCAGAGGUGAAAUUCUUGGAUUUAUUGAAGACUAACUACUGCGAAAGCAUUUGCCAAGGAUGUUUUCAUUAAUCAAGAACGAAAGUUAGGGGAUCGAAGACGAUCAGAUACCGUCGUAGUCUUAACCAUAAACUAUGCCGACUAGGGAUCGGAUGAUGUUAAUUUUUUAAUGACUCAUUCGGCGCCUUACG
rnacentral:rRNA from 1 species